GUGUCAGCAGCCGCGGUAAUACGAAGGGUGCAAGCGUUAUCCGGAUUCAUUGGGUUUAAAGGGUGCGUAGGCGGGGCGUUAAGUCAGUGGUGAAAUCCUGCAGCUUAACUGUAGAAUUGCCAUUGAUACUGGCGCUCUUGAGUACGCUUGACGUGGGCGGAAUGUGCCGUGUAGCGGUGAAAUGCUUAGAUAUGGCACAGAACACCGAUCGCGAAGGCAGCUCACGAAGGCGAAACUGACGCUGAGGCACGAAAGCGUGGGGAUCGAACAGGAUUAGAAACCCCAGUAGUCC
rnacentral:rRNA from 1 species